rnacentral:rRNA from 1 species
GAUGAACGCUGGCGGCGUGCUUAACACAUGCAAGUCGAACGAAGCAUUUAGGACAGAUUACUUCGGUUUGAAGUUCUUUAUGACUGAGUGGCGGACGGGUGAGUAACGCGUGGGUAACCUGCCUUGUACUGGGGGAUAGCAGCUGGAAACGGCUGGUAAUACCGCAUAAGCGCACAAUGUUGCAUGACAUGGUGUGAAAAACUCCGUUGGUAUAAGAUGGACCCGCGUCUGAUUAGCUAGUUGGUGAGAUAACAGCCCACCAAGGCGACGAUCAGUAGCCGACCUGAGAGGGUGACCGGCCACAUUGGGACUGAGACACGGCCCAGACUCCUACGGGAGGCAGCAGUGGGGAAUAUUGCACAAUGGAGGAAACUCUGAUGCAGCGACGCCGCGUGAGUGAAGAAGUAAUUCGUUAUGUAAAGCUCUAUCAGCAGGGAAGAUAGUGACGGUACCUGACUAAGAAGCUCCGGCUAAAUACGUG